UUGCCUCUGUGAAGUUAGCUGUUUAUGUCAUGUGCUUAUGAGUACAAGUAAAUGAAGUUAGUUGAAUAAUGUAUUUUGUAAACAAUGUUUACAAAUUUUCUUUGCGGCAUUUGUGAGAAAAUAAUCGUGCUCCGUAAUUUUUUAAUUUUUGACCAAAAGAAACAUUACAAAAUGGUGAAACAUUGUAUUGUGCGUGGAUGUAAAAGAGAUUUAGCAUCUGAUCGCUAAAAUAGAAUGAAUUACUGAAAAACAAUUUGCGUCAAUCAUCUUUAUUCAAAGUACCAAACUACCAAAGAAUAACGUAUUGAGGGAAAAUGGGUAAAAGCUUUAUCACAACAAUUGACUCCAAAUCAGUUUUGUGUGAGAAGCACUUUCGCGAAGAAGAUAUUAAGAAAAUUGAUCGAUUGAUUAUUAAUGGAGCUGAAAUUAUCAUCCCUCGCGAAAGGUGGACUCUUGAAUGACAAUGUCAUUCCAAUAAACCCUCACGAUUUGGAAAAGGACAUUUCUGAAGAGCAAGUUCCAAUAGUGCAAAAUGACAUUAAUAACUGACCAAUCGAAAAACCUGGAUUAUACACAACCCUUGUUAACCCUUUGACUGGUAGAGACGUUUUUCAGUGUCAUUGAAAUAAUAAGUAAAUUUUUCGGUUCAUUG